rnacentral:rRNA from 1 species
AUUGAACGCUGGCGGCAUGCCUUACACAUGCAAGUCGAACGGCAGCAUGGAGAGCUUGCUCUCUGAUGGCGAGUGGCGAACGGGUGAGUAAUGCAUCGGAACGUACCGUGUAAUGGGGGAUAACGUAGCGAACGUUACGCUAAUACCGCAUACGACCUGAGGGUGAAAGCAGGGGAUCGCAAGACCUUGCGUUAUACGAGCGGCCGAUGUGAGAUUAGCUGGUUGGUGAGGUAAAGGCUCACCAAGGCGACGAUCAGUAGCGGGUCGGGGAGGAUGGUCCGCCACACUGGGACUGGGACACGGCCCAGACUCCUACGGGAGGCAGCAGUGGGGAAUUUUGGACAAUGGGGGCAACCCUGAUCCAGCCAUGCCGCGUGAGUGAAGAAGGCCUUCGGGUUGUAAAGCUCUUUCGGCCGGGAAGAAAUCGCACAGGCUAAUACUCUGUGUGGAUGACGGUACCGGCAUAAGAAGCACCGGCUAACUACGUGCCAGCCGCCGCGGUAA